UUGUAGAGACAUUUUGCUUCUUCCUCGUACCUCUGCAGCCUCGCCGUCCUCCGCCGGCCGGAAAUCGUCUCCGCCGGCGGCGAUGCCCCAAAUCCACCCAAAAUUACAUCACAGGUGCUCCUCCGCCCCCUCUCCCCAUAUCUGGCCUUAGUUUUUUCCAAAUCCUAACCAAAACUCUCGAAUUUCAUAUCGAAAGUCCGGCCAAAAACGCAAAAUAAUCCAAUCUCAACCAAAUUAACACUGUUUGUUCUCCUCACUCUCCUCUUUACGAAUCCGUAGCCCUUGACCCUCGAAUCAUCUGGGAAGUUCGCGAAUAUUGGAUUAAAGGCCGCCCCAAAACUCUAGUUUCGUGAAUCGGGGUUUCUGUCGAUGGCUUGACCAUUAUAAGGUUUAGCCGUGUAUUUUCUCGUGGAAAACACACGGUUAAACACUAAUAUUGGUCAAGCAACUUCAAGCCAAGUCGUCUAAGGUACUUGGCUCGACUAUGAAUGACGUUUGUGAUCUCAAGCUUAAUAUAGCCAAUUGAAAAGAAAUUGAAGUGCCAGUUGUCUAUUUGUUUCAGUUUGCAUACAGUUUCAUAUUUGUGUUCAUGUGAAAUUUUAUAAUGUGUAUAUCAAUUAGGACUGUCUGAUUAAGAUUACUUCUCCUGCCAUGGACUGUUGAAAUUUGUACUCAAAUCAGAUCUCUUAGGGCUGUUAAUUGAUGUUUGUUAUUCGUGGACACAGCGUGGUCUAAUGUUUGGUUUUCAUGGUAA